ACGGGAGGCAGCAGUGAGGAAUAUUGGUCAAUGGGCGAGAGCCUGAACCAGCCAAGUCGCGUGAAGGAUGAAGGUUCUAUGGAUUGUAAACUUCUUUUGUUCGAGGGUAAAGUGAGUCACGUGUGGCUUAUUGCAAGUAUCGAACGAAUAAGCAUCGGCUAACUCCGUGCCAGCAGCCGCGGUAAUACGGAGGAUGCGAGCGUUAUCCGGAUUUAUUGGGUUUAAAGGGUGCGUAGGCGGGACGUCAAGUCAGUGGUGAAAUGGUGCGGCUCAACCGUAGCAUUGCCGUUGAAACUGGGGUUCUUGAGUGCGAAUGAGGUGGGCGGAAUGUGUCAUGUAGCGGUGAAAUGCAUAGAUAUGACACAGAACACCGAUUGCGAAGGCAGCUCACUGGGACGCAACUGACGCUGAGGCACGAAAGUGCGGGGAUCGAACAGGAUUAGAUACCCUGGUA
rnacentral:rRNA from 1 species